CUGUAGCCAAGCGAUGGGGUGACGCAGGAAGGUAGCUGGGCCAGUCAGUGGUUGUACUGGUGUAAGAGUGUAGGCCGUGACAUAGGCAAAUCCGUGUCACAUUAAGGCUGAGACUUGAUGCAUACCCGUUGUGGGGAAUUCAGUGAUCCUAUGCUGCCGAGAAAAGCCUCUAGUGAGUUCAUACACGGCCCGUACCCCAAACCGACACAGGCGAUCAGGUAGAGAAUACCAAGGCGAUCGAGAGAACUGUGGUUAAGGAACUCGGCAAAAUGCCCCCGUAACUUCGGGAGAAGGGGGACCAUGCCCGGUGAACAUCUUCACGGUGGGAGCUGGGUGUGGUCGCAGAGACCAGAGAGAAGCGACUGUUUACUAAAAGCACAGGUCCGUGCGAAGACGUAAGUCGAUGUAUACGGACUGGCGCCUGCCCGGUGCUGGAGGGUUAAGAGGACCGGUUAGCCGUAAGGCGAAGCUGAGAAUUUAAGCCCCAGUAAACGGCGGUGGUAACUAUAACCAUCCUAAGGUAGCGAAAUUCCUUGUCGGGUAAGUUCCGACCUGCACGAAUGGCGUAACGACUUCUCUGCUGUCUCGACCACAGACUCGGCGAAAUUGCACUACGAGUAAAGAUGCUCGUUACGCGCGGCAGGACGAAAAGACCCCGGGACCUUUACUAUAGCUUGGUAUUGGCGUUCGAUUCGGUUUGUGUAGGAUAGGUGGGAGACUGUGAAGCAUGCACGCCAGUGUGUGUGGAGUCGUUGUUGAAAUACCACUCUGAUCGUAUUGGACGUCUAACCUCGGCCCAUGAUCUGGGUUAGGGACAGUGCCUGGUGGGUAGUUUAACUGGGGCGGUUGCCUCCUAAAGAGUAACGGAGGCGCCCAAAAGGUUCCCUCAGCCUGGAUGGCAAUCAGGUGUUGAGUGCAAGUGCACAAGGGAGCUUGACUGUGAGACUGACACGUCGAGCAGGGACGAAAGUCGGGACUAGUGAUCCGGCACCGGCAAGUGGAAGCGGUGUCGCUCAACGGAUAAAAGGUACCCCGGGGAUAACAGGCUGAUCUUCCCCAAGAGUCCAUAUCGACGGGAUGGUUUGGCACCUCGAUGUCGGCUCGUCGCAUCCUGGGGCUGGAGUAGGUCCCAAGGGUUGGGCUGUUCGCCCAUUAAAGCGGCACGCGAGCUGGGUUUAGAACGUCGUGAGACAGUUCGGUCUCUAUCCGCCGCGCGCGUAAGAAACUUGAGGAAGGCUGUCCCUAGUACGAGAGGACCGGGACGGACGAACCUCUGGUGUGCUAGUUGUUCCACCAGGAGCAUGGCUGGUUAGCUACGUUCGGAAGGGAUAACCGCUGAAAGCAUCUAAGCGGGAAGCCUGUUCCAAGAUGAGGUUUCUCACCACCUUGCGUGGUUAAGGCCCCCUACAGACCAUGGGGUUGAUAGGCCGGAACUGGAAGCGCAGCAAUGCGUGGAGGUGACGGGUACUAAUAGGCCGAGGGC
rnacentral:rRNA from 1 species